rnacentral:misc_RNA from 1 species
AGGUCGUAACAAGGUUUCCGUAGGUACGUCAAACCAAACUUUUCUUUACCCCCUUUUCUGGUUAUCGACAAUCCAACUAACAUGUUUUAUAGGUGAACCUGCGGAAGGAUCAUUAAUGGGUUAUUGAACUCAGGUUCAACCUCCAACCCUGUGUCAAAUUACCAUGUUGCUUUGGCAAGCCAGUUUUUUGGCUGCCGGGGGUCUUGAGACCUCUGGUUUGUGCUUGCCAGUGCCCCAAUUAAAAACUCUUUUAACCAUUUUGUCUAAGUCAAAAGUUAAAUAUUUUAAAA